GGCGGCGUAGCUCAGUUGGUUAGAGCGUACGGUUCAUACCCGUAAGGUCGAGGGUUCGACCCCCCCCGCCGCUA
rnacentral:tRNA from 1 species